rnacentral:lncRNA from 10 species
AGGAACAUCUCACCAAUUUUAAAUCAGUUUUUCAAGUGGUACCUGAGAUUCAGCACUUCUAAAAAGCUCCAAGGUGAUGAAGGUGCUGCUAGUUGGAGGCCAUACUUUGAGUUGCCAGAUGCUAAAAAUUCAACAGAUGGGGUAUGUAAGCAGAUAGUGUAGCAUAUUGAAAACAACUCUCAGUUUGAAUCAGAAGCCUGGGUCUGUGAUAUUAUGACACUAACUAGCUUAAUAUUUUGUGGAUUAUUGUGCAUGAAAUAUAUCCAUUUAAAUAUCAUACUUUCAAUUUAAAUUAUGGGUUUCAACUUUGCCAGGCAAAUAUAAUCAACAAUAUAUUCAAUAGUAUGCCACAGCUAAAGACACAAAUGAAAACAAUGAUCUCAGACUUUUGAUCCAGGUGCCAAGUUAGAAAAAGAAGUUAAAACAGUGUAGUUUAUUUCUGUUCAAUGUCCUGUAUAGGUGGAAACUAAUUUCAGGGUUAAUUUUUGGUUAAACAACUAGCUUGGAAAUUUAUAAUUAUUUGGGAUUGAGGACCAAACAAGGUGAGGCACGAUAAAGAAAUUAGAAGGGGAUCGCUAUGAAAAUCAAGAUGAAUAAAACGAAGGGAGUGUUUACGGAGUAGGAUUUAAUGGCAUCAAGAUUACAGCAAGAGUGUCGUCAAUGUCUGAGAGAAAAGGCACAGGACAAUUCAUGUAAUCUACUUUUUACCUCCUCACUAUGCCAGCAGCACACUUGGAGAGGAAUGUUAUAAUGGAAGAAGCUGCCCAGUCACUGAUUAAAAUGUAAGAAACUGUGCUCCAUUGCAGACAUCUCCUGUUAUGCGUUCAUGAGCAUAUAUGUGUUCUAGUAUGUGUAACCUUUAAGACAAUGAUGGAAUUUGAACCAUACUUUAGGACUGACACAGGUAAGAGAGUCUUGUAUUAAUAAGCUUCAAAAUAUUUUAUUGUAACUUAAAUUACCUCAGCAAUGAUACUGGGGUAGUCAGAAAAAAAAUUCACCUAAUUUUGAACUGAUUUUUUUUAAACUUUAGUAGCUUUGUGUUAGACAGAUAAUGUAAUCUGAGUUUCAAUUAACUUAUUUAUGGUAUGGUAGUAAAACUACCCUCUACACAGUGCUCUUGAUAGAGUUUUUAGAUAUAAAUAGUUUCUGUGGUGGAAGGAUUUGUUUUGCCAGUUGAGUCACAUGUAAUGUUUGACAAACAUAAGAAGAUAUUUGAGAUGAAAAAAUGAUGUUAUAUAAAGGCACAGAAAGAGAAAAUACAAGUUUGAUUGAAGUAGAGGGCUUAUAAAAGGAAAAUAAGUGUUAAAAGUGAGCUUUGGGGCAGAUUGUGGAGUGCUUCAUACAGAUUGGGAUCUAUAGGAGUCUAACUGGCUACUAGACUUCUUGAGACAUAAAAUGAUUGAUUUAACUGGAAGCAAUAUGCAUGUUAGAAGGGAGAAAAAACUUCUAACGGAGGUAGCAGUUCAAUUAGGAA